rnacentral:rRNA from 1 species
GACGUAGGGCGCGAGCGUUGUCCGGAUUUAUUGGGCGUAAAGAGCUCGUAGGCGGCUUGUCGCGUCGACCGUGAAAACUUGGGGCUCAACCCCAAGCCUGCGGUCGAUACGGGCAGGCUCGGGUUCGGUAGGGGAGACUGGAAUUCCUGGUGUAGCGGUGAAAUGCGCAGAUAUCAGGAGGAACACCGAUGGCGAAGGCAGGUCUCUGGGCCGAUACUGACGCUGAGGAGCGAAAGCGUGGGGAGCGAACAGG